UGAAGAAUUUAUCCAACGGCGGGGGAUAGCCGGCCCAACGGCCGGGUAAUACCGCGUACGACCCUCGGGGGGCAUCCCCUGAAGGUGAAAGCCGCAAGGCGCCGAUGGAGAACUUUGCGGCCUAUCAGCUAGUUGGUGAGGUCAUGGCUCACCAAGGCGACGACGGGUAGCUGGUCCGAGAGGAUGACCAGCCACAUUGGGACUGAGACACGGCCCAGACCUCCGUACGGGGAGGCAG
rnacentral:rRNA from 1 species